rnacentral:rRNA from 1 species
AGCGUAGACGGUGUGGCAAGUCUGAUGUGAAAGGCAUGGGCUCAACCUGUGGACUGCAUUGGAAACUGUCAUACUUGAGUGCCGGAGGGGUAAGCGGAAUUCCUAGUGUAGCGGUGAAAUGCGUAGAUAUUAGGAGGAACACCAGUGGCGGAGGCGGCUUACUGGACAGUAACUGACGUUGAGGCUCGAAAGCGUGGGAGCAAACA